UACGUAGGGUGCAAGCGUUAAUCGGAAUUACUGGGCGUAAAGCGUGCGCAGGCGGUUUUGUAAGACAGAGGUGAAAUCCCCGGGCUCAACCUGGGAACUGCCUUUGUGACUGCAAGACUAGAGUACGGCAGAGGGGGGUGGAAUUCCGCGUGUAGCAGUGAAAUGCGUAGAUAUGCGGAGGAACACCGAUGGCGAAGGCAACCCCCUGGGCCUGUACUGACGCUCAUGCACGAAAGCGUGGGGAGCAAACAGG
rnacentral:rRNA from 1 species